GAAGUUUUAAGGAAUAUAUAGCU
rnacentral:piRNA from 1 species